CACUCAGCCACGGGGACAAGGGUCCACAUCGACUCUGCGGUCGGUUGACCUUCAGACGUCCGGUUUGUAAUCACGCCGC
rnacentral:snoRNA from 1 species